rfam:Corchorus capsularis cultivar CVL-1 contig09966, whole genome shotgun sequence.
AAGAACGGUGAUGAGGAUAAACAGACCUGUAAUGAAUUGCGGAAAUGAUCGCAGUCAUUAUGAACAUCUAAGGGACUGAGUUCUA